rnacentral:piRNA from 1 species
UGUUGCCACAAGAUGUCAUCUACUUGUU